AAGUUGCUGCAGUUAAAAAGCUCGUAGUUGAAUUUCGGGACUAAUAUGUCGGUCGUGCCUCGGUACGUACUGGCUUAUUGGUUUCUCCUUUCUGAAGAACCAUGAUGUCAUUUAUUUGGUGUCGUGGGGAAUCAGGACUGUUACUUUGAAAAAAUUAGAGUGUUUAAAGCAGGCUCACGCUUGAAUACAUUAGCAUGGAAUAAUGAAAUAGGACGUUUGAUUCUAUUUUGUUGGUUUCUAGGAUCGACGUAAUGAUUAAUAGGGAUAGUUGGGGGCAUUAGUAUUCAAUUGUCAGAGGUGAAAUUCUUGGAUUUAUUGAAGACUAACUACUGCGAAAGCAUUUGCCAAGGAUGUUUUCAUUAAUCAAGAACGAAAGUUAGGGGAUCGAAGACGAUCAGAUACCGUCGUAGUCUUAACCAUAAACUAUGCCGACUAGGGAUCGGAUGAUGUUAAUUUUUUAAUGACUCA
rnacentral:rRNA from 1 species